rnacentral:rRNA from 1 species
AUUGAACGCUGGCGGCAGGCCUAACACAUGCAAGUCGAGCGGAGCGGCGGACGGGUGAGUAAUGCCUAGGAAUCUGCCUGGUAGUGGGGGAUAACGUCCGGAAACGGGCGCUAAUCCCGCAUACUAUCAGAUGAGCCUCGGUCGGGUUAGGUCGUUGGUGGGGUAAAGGCCUACCAAGGCGACGAACCGUAACUGGUCUGAGAGGUUGAUCAGCCAAACUGGAACGGAGAAACGGUCCAGACUCCUACGGGAGGCAGCAGUGGGGAAUAUUGGAAAAUUGGCGAAAGCCUGAUCCAGCCAUGCCGGGUGGGUGAAGAAGGGUUUCGGAUUGUAAAGCACUUUAAGUUGGGAGGCGUUACCAACAGAAUAAGCACCGGCUAACUUCGUGCCAGCAGCCGCGGUAAUA